GAACGCUAGCGGCAGGCUUAACACAUGCAAGUCGAGGGGUAUAAGUCUUCGGAUUUAGAGACCGGCGCACGGGUGCGUAACGCGUAUGCAAUCUACCUUUCACAGAGGGAUAGCCCAGAGAAAUUUGGAUUAAUACCUCAUAGUAUUACGGAAUGGCAUCAUUUUGUAAUUAAAGUCACAACGGUGAAAGAUGAGCAUGCGUCCCAUUAGCUAGUUGGUAAGGUAACGGCUUACCAAGGCUACGAUGGGUAGGGGUCCUGAGAGGGAGAUCCCCCACACUGGUACUGAGACACGGACCAGACUCCUACGGGAGGCAGCAGUGAGGAAUAUUGGACAAUGGGCGCAAGCCUGAUCCAGCCAUGCCGCGUGCAGGAUGACGGUCCUAUGGAUUGUAAACUGCUUUUAUACGAGAAGAAACAACAUUACGUGUAAUGUCUUGACGGUAUCGUAAGAAUAAGGAUCGGCUAACUCCGUGCCAGCAGCCGCGGUAAUACGGAGGAUCCAAGCGUUAUCCGGAAUCAUUGGGUUUAAAGGGUCCGUAGGCGGUUUGGUAAGUCAGUGGUGAAAGCCCAUCGCUCAACGGUGGAACGGCCAUUGAUACUGCCAGACUUGAAUUAUUAGGAAGUAACUAGAAUAUGUAGUGUAGCGGUGAAAUGCUUAGAGAUUACAUGGAAUACCAAUUGCGAAGGCAGGUUACUACUAAUUGAUUGACGCUGAUGGACGAAAGCGUGGGUAGCGAACAGGAUUAGAUACCCUGGUAGUCCACGCCGUAAACGAUGGAUACUAGCUGUUGGGAGCAAUUUCAGUGGCUAAGCGAAAGUGAUAAGUAUCCCACCUGGGGAGUAC
rnacentral:rRNA from 1 species